rnacentral:rRNA from 1 species
CCUGUGGUUAGGGGUGAAAGGCCAAUCAAACUCUGUGAUAGCUGGUUCUCCCCGAAAUGCAUUUAGGUGCAGCGUUACGUGGUUCUUGCCGGAGGUAGAGCUACUGGAUGGCUGAUGGGCCCCAACGGGUUACUGACGUCAACUAAACUCCGAAUGCCGGUAAGGUUCAGCGUGGCAGUGAGACAGUGGGGGAUAAGCUUCAUUGUCGAGAGGGAAACAGCCCAGACCAUCAACUAAGGCCCCUAAGCGUGUGCUAAGUGGGAAAGGAUGUAGAGUUGCACAGACAACCAGGAGGUUGGCUUAGAAGCAGCCAUCAUUUAAAGAGUGCGUAAUAGCUCACUGGUCAAGUGAUUCCGCGCCGACAAUGUAGCGGGGCUAAGUACACCGCCGAAGUUGUGGCAGCAUCCCGUAU